GCUUACGGCCACGACGCCUGGUUCACGCCCGAUCUCGUUUGAUCUCGGAAGCUAAGAUAGGUUGGGCCUGGUUAGUACUUGAAAAGGAGACCGCCUGGGAAUACCAGGUGCUGUAAGCA
ensembl:rRNA 5S_rRNA 5S ribosomal RNA